UUCGGGAUAGCUUAUCUAAAGCAUUGAUUUUGUAAUUCAAAGAAGGUUAAAACCAACCUCCCGGAU
rnacentral:tRNA from 1 species